rnacentral:rRNA from 1 species
UAGGUGGACGUGCGGAGGGAUCAUUACUUGAGUUACCGCCUACAACCCUUUGUGAACAUACCUAACCGUUGCUUCGGCGGGCAGGGGAAGCCUCUCGUGGGCGGACCCUCCCGGCGCCGGCCCCGUCACGGGGGCGGAGCGCCCGCCGGAGGAAACCAAACUCUAUUUACACGACUGUCUCUUCUGAGUGGCACAAGCAAAUAAUUAAAACUUUUAACAACGGAUCUCUUGGUUCUGGCAUCGAUGAAGAACGCAGCGAAAUGCGAUAAGUAAUGUGAAUUGCAGAAUUCAGUGAAUCAUCGAAUCUUUGAACGCACAUUGCGCUCGCCAGCAUUCUGGCGAGCAUGCCUGUUCGAGCGUCAUUUCAACCCUCAAGCACCGCUUGGUUUUGGGGCCCCACGGCCGACGUGGGCCCUUAAAGGUAGUGGCGGACCCUCCCGGAGCCUCCUUUGCGUAGUAACUAACGUCUCGCACUGGGAUCCGGAGGGACUCUUGCCGUUAAACCCCCAAAUUUUUUCAGGUUGACCUCGGAUCAUGUAUACACCCGCUGAACUUAAGCAUAUCAAUAAGCGGA